rnacentral:rRNA from 1 species
UCGGAUUGUAGUCUGCAACUCGACUACAUGAAGCCGGAAUCGCUAGUAAUCGCGGAUCAGAAUGCCGCGGUGAAUACGUUCCCGGGUCUUGUACACACCGCCCGUCACACCAUGGGAGCCGGAAAUGCCCGAAGUCAGUGACCCAACCAAUAAGGAGGGAGCUGCCGAAGGCAGGUCUGGUGACUGGGGUGAAGUCGUAACAAGGUAUC